rnacentral:lncRNA from 1 species
UCAACUAACUAUCAACCAAAGACCAGAAUCACCAAACUCUCAAAGUCGCAAAAUAGAAGUUAUUAAUAUAUGACUUUGGUUGUGGAAGAGGGGACGAAACAAAAUUGAAGUUCAUUCCCAAAUUGGUAAAUUAACUUGAAUUUACUCUCAGAAUUCUCGUGGAACGUAAGUGGAAUGAGAUCUUCUUGCUUGACAGGACCUC